CUCAGGAUGAACGCUAGCUACAGGCUUAACACAUGCAAGUCGAGGGGCAGCAUUGGAGUAGCAAUACUCAGAUGGCGACCGGCGCACGGGUGAGUAACACGUAUCCAACCUGCCGCUUACUCGGGGGGUAGCCUUUCGAAAAGAAAGAUUAAUACCCGAUGGUAUAAAGAGUUCGCAUGUUCUCUUUAUUAAAGAAUUUCGGUAAGCGAUGGGGAUGCGUUCCAUUAGAUAGUUGGCGGGGUAACGGCCCACCAAGUCUACGAUGGAUAGGGGUUCUGAGAGGAAGGUCCCCCACAUUGGAACUGAGACACGGUCCAAACUCCUACGGGAGGCAGCAGUGAGGAAUAUUGGUCAAUGGACGCGAGUCUGAACCAGCCAAGUAGCGUGAAGGAUGACUGCCCUAUGGGUUGUAAACUUCUUUUAUAAGGGAAUAAAGUGAGGGACGUGUCCCUUUUUGUAUGUACCUUAUGAAUAAGGAUCGGCUAACUCCGUGCCAGCAGCAGC
rnacentral:rRNA from 1 species